rnacentral:lncRNA from 1 species
CUUCCAUGAGAAAUAAGGCAUCUCCCUCUUUUUUUUUGUUGUCGCCAAAAGAAAAAAAAAAGGAGGGGGCGUCCAAGAGUUGGACGCCCCAUAUCCCAUAUGCCUUGGCUCUCUUCUCCUCUCCCUUAUUGAAGAAAUUUUGGAAAACUUUCUUACUGGUUCUUAGGCAUCAAAGAGAGGCUUCUCUACUAGUUUUAUAGUAAAAAAUUAGAGAAGAAAGGUUCUUCCCAACGAGAGAA